AACGAACGCUGGCGGCAGGCCUAACACAUGCAAGUCGAACGCUGUAGCAAUACAGAGUGGCAGACGGGUGAGUAACGCGUGGGAACCUUCCCAGUGGUGCGGAAUAGCUCAGGGAAACUUGAGGUAAUACCGCAUAGGCCCCUACGGGGAAAGGAUUUAUUCGCCAUUGGAUGGCCCGGCGUCGGAUUAGCUAGUUGGUGAGGUAAUGGCGUCACCAAGGCAACGAUCCGUAGCNGGUUUGAGAGAAUGACCAGCCACACUGGGACUGAGACA
rnacentral:rRNA from 1 species